UACGUAGGGGGCAAGCGUUGUCCGGAUUUAUUGGGCGUAAAGAGCGUGUAGGCGGCUAGGUAGGUCCGUUGUGAAAACUCGAGGCUCAACCUCGAGACGUCGAUGGAAACCAUCUGGCUAGAGUCCGGAAGAGGAGAGUGGAAUUCCUGGUGUAGCGGUGAAAUGCGCAGAUAUCAGGAAGAACACCCGUGGCGAAGGCGGGUCUCUGGGCCGAUACUGACGCUGAGGAGCGAAAGCGUGGGGAGCGAACAGG
rnacentral:rRNA from 1 species